rnacentral:rRNA from 1 species
GUUAAACGGCCGCGGUACCCUAACCGUGCGAAGGUAGCGCAAUCACUUGUUCUUUAAAUGAGGACUAGUAUGAAUGGCAUCACGAGGGUUACACUGUCUCCCACCUCUAAUCAAUGAAACUGAUCCCCCCGUGAAGAAGCGGGGAUAAGAAUAUAAGACGAGAAGACCCCAUGGAGCUUUAAACUCAGUAUCAACCACCAAGACUCAUAACAUAAGAAUAGGGGGCCCUGAUUACUAGUUUUUGGUUGGGGUGACCGCGGAGUAAAAUGAAACCUCCACAAUGAAUGACACCUCCCCUCUUAUCCAAGAGCCUACAACUCUAAGAAUCAAUAUAUUGACAUCCAUUGACCCAAACAACUUUGAUCAACGAACCAAGUUACCCUGGGGAUAACAGCGCAAUCCAUUUCAAGAGCCCCUAUCGACAAAUGGGUUUACGACCUCGAUGUUGGAUCAGGGUGUCCCAGUGGUGCAGCCGCUACUAAAGGUUCGUUUGUUCAACGAUUAAAACCC